CGAGGAGAGAAAUGGGGAUGCCCUAAGUGGGAGGAAAGUCCGGGCUUCCACGAGCCAGCACGCCCCGUAACACGGGGGCUCCGUAAGGAGCGGAAAGCGCCACAGAGACAAUACCGCCUGGAGGUUCCGAGCGCGUGCUUUUUGCGCCGGAGCCGAAAGGUAAGGGUGAAAAGUGAGGGAGUAAGACCCCUCUCCCCUGCUGGAGACAGCAGGAGGUGGCAAGCCCCGUGCGGAAGCAAGGUCAAGCAGGGGUAGGGUGGCUCUCCCGUAGCCCCGGGUGGACCGCGAGGACCUUCAGGGCAACCUGAAGGCAAGAUAAAUGUCCCCGCCCGAGUUCCCUCGGGAACAGAACCCGGCUUAUUUCCCUCCUCGGUCU
rnacentral:RNase_P_RNA from 1 species